ensembl:lncRNA
CUCAAUUGUGUCUACAUUGUAUUUUUUAAGACUUAUUAUUUUAUUUCAUGUGUAUAAGCAUGUUGCUUGGAUAUAUGUCUGUGCAGCAUGUAGAUCCCUGGAGCCAGCAGAGGCCAGAAGAGAGCUUCAGAUCCCUAGGGACAGGAGCUACAGAUAGUUGACUAAUGGAAGAGUCAAGAUUCCCAGGACCCAUGAUGCUGAGCCUUGAGCCUGGAAGAGGAGGGGCCAAGAUAGGCUGGCAGAAAGAUGAAGCUUCCGCACAUACUACCAGGAGUGAGGUCCAUGUCCCAGGAUGUGGGGCACAUGCUUAUCUCAGGGAACAUUAUAAACAUGCAUUCCCCAGCUGGUGGUGCUGUCAGGGAGAGGGAAGAAUCCUGAGGAGGCGGAGCCUGGCUGGAGGAAGUACAUCACAGGAAGUGGGAUUUGAGGCUUUGUAGCUUUGUUCCACAUCCUGUUCCCUCUUCCUUCCUGAGUGUGACAAACGUGAACUAACAGCUUUCUGUUCCUGCUGCCAUACCCUCUCUGCCUGUUGAGAUGUCUUCUCCACCAUGAAGGACUCUGUCCCUCUGGAACUAGCUUUCUUUCUAGCCCCUCAUAUGUCUUUGGAAUAUCUCUGAAGUCGAUUGUCCAGGUGUUUUCCCCCCUACAUGACAGAGCAAGACACAAGAGUUGUCACAGUUGACUAUAUUCUACCCUGACGCAAAACCUGUUUAUCUACUUCAUUCUUAUUGCCAUCCGUCAUGAGAGCAUCCUUUGCAAGAGACAGGAAAGAAAGAUGUGACUAUAUCAAGACAAUGGAACAAUUUGGCAGGUGGCUAACCUACAUGAAUAAUGCUAAAGGAAUUUCGAGAUAGUUGCCCUUUCUUAAUCAUGUUAUGGAAUUAACUCUCUCCCUCACAGGACUCUGAAUUGUAAGAUUCUCAUGGUUCAAUGGUUAACCCAGCAGAACAAUUAUGGUGGUGUCCCAGCCACUGAGGAGAGAAGGAGGAAAGUCAGGACUGUCCAAGAACCAGGCCUCAAAGCCAGCAGCUAAAGUCAUGUACCACCAAGCCUGAUGACCUGAGUUUAAUCCCCAGGGCCCACAUGGUGGAAGGAGAGAACCAACUUCAAUCAACUGUCCUCUGGCCUGCAUGCAUGGGCUGUGGCAUGUGUCCCUUCCACCUACAAAACAAAUAAAUAUAAUACAAUUUUUAAUUAACACUGGUGGCAAGUCUAUAUUUGGGGAGAAACCUGAGGGCGAGAACUUCAUCCUGAGCAUACAGGUCCUGGUAUCUUGUCCAUGGAAAAAGCUAGACCAAGCACAGAUGGUUCCCACUGUUUCAUCAGCACUGCCAAGCCUGGGUGGUCUGACAAGCAUGCAGUCUUUUGGAAGAUGAAAGAUGAAGUGGGUGUUGUGGAACCUAUGGAGUGCCUCACUCAGGUCCAGGCACCUCAAGACCACAAGAUCACCACUGCCGACUAUGGACAAUUGGACCGCAUCGACGUGUGCUUCCUAACCAGCAGUCCCAUGCUUCUGUACUCAGGAGAGGCCUAGUCUCUCUUAAUAUCCCACAAGUUUUAAUCUGCAGUUUUGGGGAUUUCAUGUUUUCCUUGUUUCCUCUAAGUCUGGCUGCAUUGUAGAAUUAAGUCUAUGAUUAUAAACAAAAAUUAAAUAAGAAAAAUGCUAUGCAGAGAGAAUAUGAGUGCCAAUAUCAGUGGUGACCAUCUUACUGAGUCACAAAGUGACUGACAGACCUCAUUCUAGAGGCCAUCUUGGUUAGGCUUUGUUCCUAUGGCCUUCUAGAGUUCCAUUCAACUUUAAAGAGCAGGAGAAUGCCAUGGUGUGUUAGCUAUUUUUCUCCAUGCUGUGGUGGCAUGCCUAGUAAAUGACAACUGAAGGAGAGUUGACUUUGGCCCACAGUUUGAGGGCAUAGCCCUUCAUGAUGAGGAAGGCAUGGCAGCAGGAGCAUGAUACGGCUGGAACAUUGCAUCCACCAUCAGGAACCUGGUGCUCCAACAGCUUUCAGUCCAGGACCCAGCCCAUGGGAUGGUGCUGCUCACAUCCCCACAUUCAGGGUGAGACUUCCCACCUUAGUUGUCUAGACACUCCCUCACAGAUGUGCCCAGAGGCUGUUUCCUGGGGAUUCUGGAUCCUGUUGAGUUGACAAUCAGUAUUAGCCAUCACACCUGGAACACCUCCCUGAUCUAGCUGAGUUGCUGAUCCUCAAGACAGGGUGGCUUUUGACAUUCAUCUAAUCCCUAAGAAUUUCCCACACACCCCCAGGUUGUUGCUCCAGUGACGCAGCGCUAAGAAAGACUCACAUGCCACUUCUACCACAAGCCCUUUAAGAUUUCACCUAUAACUUCUUUAUCUGUAACUGGAGGACAUUAGCUUUGCUGUGCAAGCUUGACAACCAGAGUCUGAUCCUAGCAGCCACGUUUAAACAGCAGGUUGGGGAGCAGUGGAGCAUGUCUAUAAUCUCAGCACUCCAAUGACAAGAAGGAAGAUGGAGACCAGAGA